CUGCUCUUCAACAUCCUUUCUGCUGUUUAUCCAUUGGAAUUUAACAAGUAACAGAGAAUAUGUGAUUGGGCUAUAAUUUGGCUAGGCAGAGUCCUGAUGUGUGGAGUUGGUCCUGUGUCCUGGCGCCUCUACGAUCCAGACCAACAUAACCUCUGAAGCCUCUAGCAGGCUUGUGAGUACAGGGACGUGUCAACAAAUCUACCUGCUUCCUUUGACAAACUAAUUUCACACCACUCAACACGUACCAGACUGCCUCGCAUAUAACCGUCAGGAUCAAGAACAGACAGCCUCACACUGUCAAACUAACACCUAACUGUCCAUCACUUCACAGCCUGCUCCUUCUUGGCAGUUCAAUUUAAACAUCUAGAAAAAUACAUUUACAGACUUCUCUCCCCGGCAGAAUAAAUAUAAACUCAUUUACACAACAACGACACGCUCUGAGAGAUCAGUCAGCAUUCUGACCUCAGGAACCUCAGCUGACCUCAGGAACCUCAGCUGACCUCAGGAUGGUCCGAGCCUGGUGUCUUAGGCCAGCGGUGUCAAAGCCAUAUCUUUUAUAGGCAACAUCAAGGUGGCCACACAUCGGUGAAGGAUCUCAAUGAAGAUGGUCAUUUAAAUUAAAGACACAUAGAUAUGUUUUUCAAUAAACAGCCGUGUCACUUGGUCUGCUAUGAAGCAGAGGAAUGGGGUUUAGUUCAAUUCUUCAUUUAUUUAUUAUUUUACAGGUGUUUGUAUUGCAUUCAAGAGCACUAAGCUUUGACCACAUGAAACCCCAGCUCCAGUAUGAUUCAAAUAUUUGGCACAUAUACAGAUCAGGCCCCUGUCAGAAAAACACAGCUACGGCCUGGGCUGUGGAUUUGAUUCUCACGGGGUCCAGUAUGAAAAUGUAUGCACUCACUAAUGUAUGUCUGAUAAAUGACUCAAAUAUAUAUUUUUAUGUAAGCGUGUUAGGUAAAGGCUUAGAGAGAGAAAGAGCAUGUGUGUAGUCCCUGCUGUAGUCCCAUGUCCCAUCCUAUUCCCUAUAUAGUGCCCAGAGCUCUGGUCAACAGCUACGGCCCCCUAUUCCCUACUUUUAACCAGAGCUCUGGGCACUACAUAGGGAAUAGGAUGGGACAUGGGACUACAGCAGGGACUACACACAUACUCUCUCUCUAAAGCCUUUACCUAACACGCUUACAUAAAAAUAUAUAUUUUAGUCAUUUAUCAGACGCUCUGCAACUUACAGUAGUGAGUGCAUACAUUUUCAUACAGGUCCCCCGUGAGAAUCAAUUCCACAGCCCAGGCUGUAGCAAGUGCCACGCUCUACCAACUGAGCCACACGGGAACAUACAGUAUAUAGGCCCAUGUUCUAAUCUCUGUUGACAAACUACCUGCUACUCCUGUUUAUGUUGCCAUGGCUACAACACCAACACAACACCUCCCUUUAACACUUCCAACGUUGGGACAGAGCACCUCUAGAGUCAAGACCUGGGUUCAAAUACUAUUUGAAAUAAUUGUAAAUACUUUAGCUGGUCCUUGAUUGAGCUUGCCUGGCGCAAUCGACCAAUAGAAUAGUUGCAACAUGCAAACUUCACCCAUGUGGCACGGUAUUUGAACACAGCAGGUCUGACUCAGGCGCUUUGACUACACAUGCAAAAGCACACAGGCUGCUUCAGGUCUGAUGGAUGUUUAGCAAAUAGUUAUCUUUCCAAAAGGCCACUGAAGUGAAUACACCUCUGUAUGAGGACUCGUGAAACAUCAAACUGGAACUCAAGAGUUACAUUCUGAAGGGGCUCAAUUCAAAGAGACCACUGUGUUCUGCUCUGCUCUUACCAAGAGUGCAUUUCAGGGUGUUGUUGUUGUUUUCGGGGCUAAAGCAACAAAACAUAGCAACAACAGGAUUGCAUUCAGCAGCGCAAAGGGCACCUAAAGAACGUGUGUGUGUGGAGGGAAGCCUGGUGGUGUCACAGGAUUAUCACAGGCUCUGGUGUUUAGGGGCCGGCUCGUGCACUGUUGUCAGGCUGCCAUGGAGACAGUAACCAUGAACACGUUUUUAGAAUGUUUAGCAUAAUGCAGGGUAUUUACAGGGAGCAUGCAGAUGACUGGGCAGAGUCACGUACCUGAUCUACCUGUAUUUGUGUAACACAGUUUGGUGAGAGAGAGAGAGAAGCUAUUAGUAGAAGUUCAAGUGAUGGUCGUCUGUAGGUCACAUGACACCAAGGGAUUCACANNNNNNNNNNUGGCGCAAUCGACCAAUAGAAUAGUUGCAACAUGCAAACUUCACCCAUGUGGCACGGUAUUUGAACACAGCAGGUCUGACUCAGGCGCUUUGACUACACAUGCAAAAGCACACAGGCUGCUUCAGGUCUGAUGGAUGUUUAGCAAAUAGUUAUCUUUCCAAAAGGCCACUGAAGUGAAUACACCUCUGUAUGAGGACUCGUGAAACAUCAAACUGGAACUCAAGAGUUACAUUCUGAAGGGGCUCAAUUCAAAGAGACCACUGUGUUCUGCU
rnacentral:lncRNA from 13 species